UACGUAGGGUGCGAGCGUUGUCCGGAAUUAUUGGGCGUAAAGAGCUCGUAGGCGGUUUGUCGCGUCGGCCGUGAAAUCUCCACGCUUAACGUGGAGCGUGCGGUCGAUACGGGCAGACUUGAGUUCGGUAGGGGAGACUGGAAUUCCUGGUGUAGCGGUGAAAUGCGCAGAUAUCAGGAGGAACACCGAUGGCGAAGGCAGGUCUCUGGGGCAUUAACUGACGCUGAGGAGCGAAAGCAUGGGGGAGCGAACAGG
rnacentral:rRNA from 1 species